rnacentral:rRNA from 1 species
CCUAUAUUGGGGGAUAACAGUCAGAAAUGACUGCUAAUACCGCAUAAGUCGAGAAACUUUGGAUAGUUCUUUAGAAAGAUGGCCUCUGCUUGCAAGCUAUCGAUAUAGGAAGGGCCUGCGGACCAUUAGCUUGUUAGUAGGGUAAUGGCCUACUAAGGCGAUGAUGGUUAGCCGGUCUGAGAGGAUGAUCGGCCACACUGGAACUGAGACACGGUCCAG